rnacentral:piRNA from 1 species
UGGCUUAUGCCUCGUAUCCUCAUCCCAGGG